ensembl:lncRNA
CAGGCUGGAGUGCAGUGGCGCAAUCUCAGCUUGCUGCAACUUCUGCCUCCAAGUUCAAGCGAUUCUCCUGCCUCAGCCUCCCAAGUAGCAGGGAUUACAGGUGUGCGCCACCACACCCAGCUAAUCUUUGUAUUUUUAGUAGAGAUGGAGUUUCACUACGUUGCCUAGGCUGGUCUCGAACUCCUGACCUCAAGUGAUCUGUCCACCUCGGCCUCCCAAAGUGCUGGGAUUACAGGCAUGAGCCACCACGCCCAGCCCCCACCUUCAGCUUUUGCUGAACCCGUCCUUGUGCCACCCAUGUAGUACUCCGUAUAGUAAGUCAGCAAAUCUCAUUGUUUUGAGCUAAGUGCCUACGUUAGCCUCUGCCUAAACAGGUUUGAUGGGCUGAUUUUUCUCCAAUAUGCUUUGGAAAUCAUUGUAUAAUACUGAAAAGAAAAAUGCCCAUCUCUGCACCACCCAAAAUCACUGCCUCCCUUGGGAGACACCAGCCAGAGCAAAUUCCCAGCAGAGCAUAACAACCCUGUAGAGUGGCCCCUGCUCACCACUGCUCUCCUGCAAACCAAGAACAGAAGUUCUCACACCUGCCCGCCUUCUGCCCUCACUCCCACUGCUCCAACAGCAAACAAACCCUUCCUCCCCCGCUAUGGACCCUGAAAAGCUAUAUCCAUCCUAGGACUCUCAUACCAGCCCCAGGCCCUCAAGCCUCACCUGCUUCCAGCCCCUGACUUCAUGCCUGAAGAACAGCCAACUUUUUUUUUUUUUUUUUUUUUUUUGAGACUGGGUGUCACUGUCACCCAGGUUGGAGUGCCAUGGUGCAAUCAUAGCUCACUGCAGCCUCAAAUUCCUGGGCUCCAGCAAUCCUCCCACCUCAGCCUCCAGAGUAACUGGGACCAAGGCUCAUGCCACCAUGCCCAGCUAAUUGUAUUUUUUUUUUUUUUUUUUUUGGUAAGACCAGGUUUCACCAUGAUGCCCAGGCUGGUCUCAAACUCAGCUCAAGCCAUCCACCUGCCUCGGCCUCUCAGAAUGCUGGGAUUACAGGUGUGAGGAUGGUCUGAGUACAGGAGUUCGAGACCAACUUGGACGAUGUAGCAAGAUGCUCUCUACAAAAAAUUUAAAAAUUAGCCAGGCAUGGUGGCAUAUGCCUAUAGUCCCAGCUACUGAGGAGGCUGAAGGAGGAUCACUUGAGCCCACGAGGUUAAGGCUGCAGGGCAGCCUUGUCUCAAAAACAAAAAACACCUCUAUAGCAGCAAUGAGCCAGGGACUGUGGACAGUGCACCCCGAGGCCAGUCCCCUCUUCCCACAGGUAUAUCAUGGGAGUAAGAUGUAACUCACACAACAUCCUAAAAGCUUCAACAGGGCACUGGACAGCUGCUGACCAAGUUACUGGCAUUUUCUGUUGCCAGGAAGCUGCAUUCUCCUUCCUGCUAAGCUUUCUCAUGCUAGAGAAUGAUGACUCAAGAAAAACAGAUGAUCCCAUCUUCUUCUUCACCACCCCCUAAAAAAACAGACUGCCAAGUGGAAUGUGUCAGCCUCACCUGGGGGAGACACCCUCACCUGACGACUUAAAAGGAAAAACCUGGUAAGCCAGCCGCCACACAAACACGCGCACUGCCUUACACAAAACAAAACUUCAUUAGGAGAAAGACGGCUGAUGGCAGGCAAGAUCUGGAUUCAGGAAUCCUCAGUUCUAGCUAUUCCUUGGUCAGCAACAACCUCUGUCCCUCCCAGAGCCUCCAGGAGUUUCCCCUUCUGUAAACUGGUAUCGCAUCCCUUCCAGCUGUGACAUCCUGCAGUUCUAGAAUACCCGCUGAU